UACGUAGGGGGCAAGCGUUGUCCGGAUUUAUUGGGCGUAAAGAGCGUGUAGGCGGCUUUACAGGUCCGUUGUGAAAACUCGAGGCUCAACCUCGAGACGCCGGUGGAAACCGUAAGGCUAGAGUCCGGAAGAGGCGAGUGGAACUCCUGGUGUAGCGGUGGAAUGCGCAGAUAUCAUUUGGAACGCCAAUGGUGAAAACAGCUCGCUGGGAAUGAUCUGACGCUGAGACGCGAAAGCCAGGGGAGCGAACGGG
rnacentral:rRNA from 1 species